GACGAACGCUGGCGGCGUGCUUUACACAUGCAAGUCGAACGGAAAGGCCCUGCUUGCAGGGUACUCGAGUGGCGAACGGGUGAGUAACACGUGGGUGAUCUGCCCUGCACUUCGGGAUAAGCCUGGGAAACUGGGUCUAAUACCGGAUAGGAGCCAUUUUUAGUGUGAUGGUUGGAAAGUUUUUUCGGUGUAGGAUGAGCUCGCGGCCUAUCAGCUUGUUGGUGGGGUAAUGGCCUACCAAGGCGGCGACGGGUAGCCGGCCUGAGAGGGUGGACGGCCACAUUGGGACUGAGAUACGGCCCAGACUCCUACGGGAGGCAGCAGUGGGGAAUAUUGCACAAUGGGCGCAAGCCUGAUGCAGCGACGCCGCGUGGGGGAUGACGGCCUUCGGGUUGUAAACUCCUUUCGCUAGGGACGAAGCUUUUUGUGACGGUACCUAGAUAAGAAGCACCGGCUAACUACGUG
rnacentral:rRNA from 1 species